UACGAAGGGGGCUAGCGUUGCUCGGAAUCACUGGGCGUAAAGGGUGCGUAGGCGGGUCUUUAAGUCAGGGGUGAAAUCCUGGAGCUCAACUCCAGAACUGCCUUCGAUACUGGAGAGCUCGAGUCCGGGAGAGGUGAGUGGAACUGCGAGUGUAGAGGUGAAAUUCGUAGAUAUUCGCAAGAACACCAGUGGCGAAGGCGGCUCACUGGCCCGGUACUGACGCUGAGGUGCGAAAGCGUGGGGAGCAAACAGG
rnacentral:rRNA from 1 species